CUGGCUUGACUAAGAAAGACUCCCCGUCCGCUCUCCCAUAGUCAAGCCACUAACCGGCGGAUUAGUAGUUGGGUCGGUGACGACCAGCGAAUCCCCGCUGUUGUAUGUU